rnacentral:snoRNA from 1 species
AAUCAUUCCACUACACAUGCAAGAUAAAGAAGGUUCUCACACUUUCUGUCUGUCUGGAUGUGGCAGCCAAGAUUGAAUGGGGGAAUACAGGA